CUACCAAAAGUUACUUUUUUGGGGGGUGGAAAUUUCUUAAAUAACCUCUACCAAUUUGAGCUGUUUUGGAAAAUAAAGAAAAGACCACAGUUAGCAAGUGGUCUCUAUCUCUUAGUACAGUUCACCACUAUUUUGUAGCUUAUAUU
ensembl:snoRNA